rnacentral:rRNA from 1 species
UUGGAGGGCAAGUCUGGUGCCAGCAGCCGCGGUAAUUCCAGCUCCAAUAGCGUAUAUUAAAGUUGUUGCAGUUAAAAAGCUCGUAGUUGAAUUUCGGGAUCAAUUUAUUGGUCGUGCUAUUGUACGUACUGGUAUUAUUGAUUCCUACCUUCUGACGAACCAUGAUGUCAUUAAUUUGGUGUCAUGGGAAAUCAGGACUGUUACUUUGAAAAAAUUAGAGUGUUUAAAGCAGGCUCACGCCUGAAUACAUUAGCAUGGAAUAACGAAAUAGGACGUUUGAUUCAAUUUUGUUGGUUUCUAGGAUCGACGUAAUGAUUAAUAGGGAUAGUUGGGGGCAUUAGUAUUCAAUUGUCAGAGGUGAAAUUCUUGGAUUUAUUGAAGACUAACUACUGCGAGAGCAUUUGCCAAGGAUGUUUUCAUUAAUCAAGAACGACAGUUAGGGGAUCGAAGACGAUCAGAUACCGUCGUAGUCUUAACCAUAAACUAUGCCGACUAGGGAUCGGAUGAUGUUAAUUUUUUAAUGACUCAUUCGGCGCCUUACGGGAAAC